GAGGAGAGGAGAGGAGAGACUGAGCCAGGAGAGGACAGGACAGGAGAGGAGAGACGGAGCCAGGAGAGGACAGGACAGGACAGGACAGGAGAGACUGAACCAGGACAGGACAGGACAGGAGAGGACAAGACAAGACAGGACAGGACAGGAGAGGAGAGACUGAGCCAGGAGAGGACAGGACAGGAGAGGAGAGACUGAGCCAUAGUUUAUUUCCUGCAGGGCUUGGAUAGGGGUCUGCCCACUGGGCGGCAGGUUGCCUAGUGGUUAGAGUGUAGGGACGGCAGGUAGCCUAGUGGUUAGAGUGUAGGGACGGCAGGUAGCCUAGCGGUUAGAGUGUAGGGGUGGCAGGUAGCCUAGUGUUUAGAGUGUAGGGACGGCGGUUAGCCUAGUGGUUAGAGUGUAGGGGCGGCAGGUAGCCUAGUGGUUAGAGUGUAGGGGCGGCAGGUAGCCUAGUGGUUAGAGUGUAGGGGCUACAGGUAGCCUAGUGGUUAGAGUGUAGGGGCUACAGGUCGUCUAGUGGUUUGAGUGUAGGGGUGGCAGGUAUCCUAGUGGUUAGAGUAUUGGGCCAGUAACGGAAGGUUGCUAGAUCAAAUCCCCGAGCUGACAAGGUAUUUUCGCAGCUCACAUGGGACACUUAAUGCCCUGCCAGGUUGACCCUCCGACUGGACAGCUACCUCAGACACAAUCUUCAAUGCAAGGAAGCUGUAUUUCUGAAUCACUGUGGUCGAGAUGCUUGCCUUUUUUCAUCGUGUGGGCAUCUUCCUAGGGUCCUGCUGCUCCACAUCUGUACUCUCUGAUUUGCCGAAGUACGAAAAGACUCUGCUUCCCUCAUCAGUGGCUCCAUCUCUGUGGAGCGAAGCGGCAGAGACACACUGCUGCAGGGGUUGGAUCAAAGUUUACUGCCAGAGGAGUCGGUACUCCAGUGACUUCAUGAGUACCCGUUUCAACUUGUUUUGCAACAGUAGUUGACUGCAAGUGUGCCUCAAGGUUGAGAAGGCACGGGACCAACAUCCAACAGUGACUGGCUUGUCAGUAUGAAGUUGGUCGGUGGAGAUUUACUUAACGACACCAGCAACUUCACAAGCUGUUCUAGCUUAGCCCGAUUCACGUUGUCCGAUUUCUUCCCUGUUAGCUAAUGUUAGCUAGUGACGCAACACAGCUAGGCAGUUUAUGUUUACUAUAAUAGCAUUGGUGCCUGUGUGUGUGUCAGAACACAGUAUUGCCAAAUAUAUGGAAUCAUUGGUAGCCUGGAGCCAUGUUAAUACUUCAUGGUUCAUCGUUCCUGAAUAAACAGUCGAAGAGGACAUUUGUGUCAUCGUCCUGUCCCUUACUCAUCAUGUCAGAUGAUGACACGUGUUCGUCUGGCUGCUCAUUUUCAGACUUUCAACUGAAUUGUAAGUUAUGAUGGAAAAGGCCCAACUUUAGAUGAUGGCCCCCAUCAUGUCCUCAGGCCACAGGAGAGAUGGAGAGAUGCUGCGUAACCUUGAGAAAGGGAACAAUCUGACAGAAAGACACAAUCUUGGGCU
rnacentral:lncRNA from 1 species